rnacentral:rRNA from 1 species
GCUGGAAUCGCUAGUAAUCGCGAAUCAGAAUGUCGCGGUGAAUACGUUCCCGGGUCUUGUACACACCGCCCGUCACACCAUGGGAGUCGGAUAUGCCCGAAGCCGGUGACCUAACCGCAGGGAAGGAGCCGCCGAAGGUGGAGCCGAUGACUGGGGUGAAGUCGUAACAAGGUAGC